CCUGCCUUGGAGUGGGGAAUAACAGCUGGAAACAGCUGCUAAUACCGCAUAAUGCAGUUGGGUCGCAUGGCUCUGACUGCCAAAGAUUUAUCGCUCUGAGAUGGACUCGCGUCUGAUUAGCUAGUUGGCGGGGCAACGGCCCACCAAGGCGACGAUCAGUAGCCGGACUGAGAGGUUGGCCGGCCACAUUGGGACUGAGACACGGCCCAGACUCCUACGGAAGGCAGCAG
rnacentral:rRNA from 1 species